UAUGAAGAACGCAGCGAAAUGCGAUAAGUAAUGCGAAUUGCAGAAUUUCCGUGAGUCAUCGAAUCUUUGAACGCACAUUGCGCCCACUGGUAUUCCGGUGGGCAUGCCUGUUCGAGCGUCAUUAUCCUCCCUCAAACCCCGGGUUUGGUGUUGGACCCAAGUUGUGUGAACAACUGGUCUCAAAGACAAUGACGGCGUCCGUGGGACCCUCGGUGCAACGAGCUUUUAGGAGCACGCAUCGAGUUGCAAGGACCUUCCGGGCCGGUCUCCUUUACCAUUUUACAAGGUUGACCUCGGAUCAGGUAGGAAUACCCGCUGAACUUAAGCAUAUCAAUAAGCGGAGGA
rnacentral:misc_RNA from 1 species